rnacentral:rRNA from 1 species
GGGGGAAAAAUUAAUAAAAUAAAAUUAAUAAAAAAAUUUUUAAGUAUAUUUAAUGGGGGUUAAAGUAUAUUUAUAGAAAUAAUAAAAAAUUUUAUAGUUAAUUAGUACUGUAAAGAAAUUUUUAAUAUUUUUUAUAAUUUAUAAAAAAGUAAAUUUUAAUUAUUGUAUCUUGUGUAUCAGAGUUUAUUAAAAAAUUUUUUUUAAUAAAAAAAAUCUCGAAUUUAAAAGAGAAAAUUAAUUAUAAAAAUUAAUGUUGAAUAAUUAUUUUAAAUAAUUAAUUUGAAAUGAAAUGUUAAUCGUUUUUAAAUAUAUCUAGUUUUUUUAGAAAAAAAUUUAAUUUUAUAUUUGAAUAAUUUAAUAAUUAAUUAAUUAAUUAUCAAAAUUCAAAAUUUAAUAUUUUAAGGGAUAAGCUUUAAAUUAAAUUUUUAUAAUAAUAAAGUAAUUUAAAUUAAAAUUUUAAAAUUUAUAUUAUUUAAAAAUUAUAAUUUAUUAUAAAUAAUUUAAUUUAAAAUAAAAUUUUAUUGAAAUUUAAUUUUUUAUUAAAAAAUAAUUUUAAAUAAAAUAAAAUUAGAAAUAAUGAUAAAAUUAGUAUAAGUAAUUAAUGUAUUAUUUAUUAAAUAAAAAAUUAAUUUAAAGGAAUUCGGCAAAAAUUUAUAUUCACUUGUUUAUCAAAAACAUGUCUUUUUGAUUAAUAAUUUAAAGUCUAAUCUGCCCACUGAUAUUUAUAUUAAAGGGCUGCAGUAUUUUGACUGUACAAAGGUAGCAUAAUCAUUAGUCUUUUAAUUGAAGACUUGUAUGAAAGAUUUGAUGAAAUAUAAACUGUCUCAAAAUUAUUUAUAGAAUUUAAUUUUUUAAUUAAAAAGUUAAAAUUUAAUUAAAAGACGAGAAGACCCUAUAGAGUUUUAUAAUUUAUAUUAUUUUAUGUUAAUAUAUAAUUAAAAUUUAUAAUUUUUUAAAUUAUUAUGUUGGGGUGAUAAAAAAAUAAAAAAAACUUUUUUUAAAAAUUUACAUAUAUAAUUGAAUAAGUGAUCCAUUAAUAGUGAUUAAAAGAAAAAAUUACCUUAGGGAUAACAGCGUAAUAUUUUUUUUUAGUACAAAUAAAAAAAAAAGUUUGCGACCUCGAUGUUGGAUUAAGAUAAAAUUUAAAUGCAAAAGUUUAAAAUUUUGAUCUGUUCGAUCAUUAAAAUCUUACAUGAUCUGAGUUCAAACCGGUGUAAGCCAGGUUGGUUUCUAUCUUUAAUAAUUUAUAAUAAUUUAGUACGAAAGGAUCAGUUAUUAAAAAUAAUUUUAAUAAAUGAAUAUUAUUAAUAAUAAUUA